rnacentral:rRNA from 1 species
ACGGGAGGCAGCAGUGGGGAAUAUUGCACAAUGGGCGCAAGCCUGAUGCAGCGACGCCGCGUGGGGGAUGACGGCCUUCGGGUUGUAAACUCCUUUCGCUAGGGACGAAGCCACUUGUGGUGACGGUACCUGGAGAAGAAGCACCGGCUAACUACGUGCCAGCAGCCGCGGUAAUACGUAGGGUGCGAGCGUUGUCCGGAAUUACUGGGCGUAAAGAGCUCGUAGGUGGUUUGUCGCGUCGUCUGUGAAAUCCCGGGGCUUAACUUCGGGCGUGCAGGCGAUACGGGCAUAACUUGAGUGCUGUAGGGGAGACUGGAAUUCCUGGUGUAGCGGUGAAAUGCGCAGAUAUCAGGAGGAACACCAAUGGCGAAGGCAGGUCUCUGGGCAGUAACUGACGCUGAGGAGCGAAAGCAUGGGUAGCGAACAGGAUUAGAUACCCUGGUA